UACGGAGGGUGCGAGCGUUAAUCGGAAUUACUGGGCGUAAAGCGCACGCAGGCGGUCUGUUAAGCAAGAUGUGAAAGCCCCGGGCUCAACCUGGGAACUGCAUUUUGAACUGGCAGACUAGAGUCUUGGAGAGGGGAGUGGAAUUCCAGGUGUAGCGGUGAAAUGCGUAGAGAUCUGGAGGAACAUCAGUGGCGAAGGCGGCUCCCUGACCAAAAGACUGACGCUCAUGGUGCGGAAAAGUGUUGGGUAGCACGGAACAGGAUUAGAUACCCCGGUAGUCC
rnacentral:rRNA from 1 species